CGACCAAUGGUGUCACUGGGGUCUCAUUGAGAACCCUAGGAAGAGCAAUGGUUGCAUCCACCAAAAGAAGCAACCUGUACGUGACAGCUCGGCUCAAGAAAGGCAAGAAGUUCGAUCACCCCUGGCCUUCCAACCCUGACCCGAACGUCAAAGGAGGAGUCUUGUCUUACCUCUCCACUUUCAAACCCUUGGGGGACACUCAAAAGCCCGUCACUCUUGAUUUCGAGAAGCCACUCGUUGAACUCGAGAAGAAGAUUGUCGAUGUAAGAAGAACUAAUAAUACUAACUCAUUGUCAGAAGCGAAGCCAUUUCUCUUUUAACAUUGGUCCUUUUGGUGGUGGAUGCAGGUGAGGAAGAUGGCGGCUGAAACUGGUUUGGACUUCACUGAUCAGAUCAUCACUUUGGAAACCAAGUAUAGACAGGCGCUGAAGGAUCUUUACACGCAUCUCACACCGAUACAGCGCGUGAACAUUGCACGACAUCCCAACCGUCCUACUUUCCUUGAUCAUAUACAUAACAUCACUGACAAGGUCUGCUCUCUCGUUACUAUGCUCUUUUUUUGUUUGUUUGUCAUGCAUUGGAGAUAAACUUUUGUUUCUCUUGUUUCAGUUUAUGGAGCUUCAUGGAGACAGGGCGGGUUAUGAUGAUCCAGCCAUUGUGACUGGUAUUGGAACCAUAGAUGGGAAACGUUAUAUGUUCAUUGGUCACCAGAAAGGAAGAAACACCAAAGAGAAUAUAAUGCGUAACUUUGGGAUGCCUACUCCUCAUGGGUAUGUUAUGUUUGUCUUUUAAGAAGUUCAUGUUUUGUUGUUAAAUAGUAGUUAACGACACUCUCAUUAAAUCUUCUGUAAUGCCAACAACAGUUAUAGGAAGGCGUUACGGAUGAUGUAUUACGCAGACCAUCAUGGUUUCCCCAUUGUGACUUUCAUCGACACUCCUGGAGCCUAUGCAGAUCUUAAAUCUGAGGAACUUGGACAGGUACAUGAACUGUCUUUUAUGUUUGAAGCGUACUGGUUUGUCUUCAUCACUGCAUUUUUUUUUUUGUCUGUUAUGUGUAUAAUAGGGUGAAGCGAUUGCCAACAAUCUGAGGACAAUGUUCGGCUUGAAAGUGCCGAUUCUUUCUAUUGUCAUUGGAGAAGGUGGUUCUGGAGGUGCCUUGGCUAUUGGCUGUGCUAAUAAAAUGCUGAUGCUUGAAAACGCUGUUUUCUAUGUUGCCAGGUAAGAACUUUCCUCCAAUGUAGGUAAGAAUAUUAUUACAGGUUGGUUUAUUCUGUGUGUUGUUAUGCUUUCACAGUCCAGAGGCAUGUGCAGCGAUCUUGUGGAAUAGUUCCAAGGCUGCUCCUGAGGUCUGUACACUGUUCUGUUAAGUGAAUUGUGUAAAUAUCUGAUGUUGUUACAAUUGAUUGAAAACUCUUGUAUGCAGGCUGCUGAAAAGCUUAGAAUUACCUCCAGGGAGUUGGUUAAGCUUAAUGUAGCCGAUGGAAUCAUACCUGUAACUAUCUCUACCUCUAGUCUAUUUGUUUUAGCCUCUUUUGUUGCUUUGGUUUGAUGAGUUACUCUCUCUUACAUGUUGUACAGGAACCUCUUGGUGGUGCUCAUGCUGAUCCUUCAUGGACGUCGCAGCAGAUAAAGAUUGCUAUCAAUGAAAACAUGAAUGUACGUAGCCUCAAAGCUGGAUAUGGAUCAGAAAACGUUCUAACUUAUUUUUUUUUUCAGGAAUUUGGAAAAAUGAGUGGGGAGGAGCUGCUGAAGCACAGGAUGGCUAAGUACAGAAAGAUUGGAGUGUUCAUUGAGAAUGCUCCUGUAGAGCCAGAGAUUAAAGUCAACAUGAAGAGGAGAGACGCUGUGAUCUCCAAUAGCCGGAAGCUGGAGGGGGAAGUUGAGAAGCUAAGAGACCAGAUUCUGAAAGCCAAGGAGACUUCUUCAGAGGAAGCGCCGUCUAGUGAAGUUCUUAACGAGAUGAUUAAGAAACUUAAGUCAGAGAUAGAUGAUGAGUACACUGAAGCUGCAAGAGCAAUGGGUUUGGAGGAGAGACUAACAGCAAUGCGCGGAGAAUUCUCAAAGGCGAGUGCAGAGGAGCAUCUUAUGCAUCCUAUUCUGAUAGAGAAGAUUGAGAAGCUUAAAGAAGAGUUCAAUACACGUUUGAGUGAAGCACCUAACUACGAGAGCCUCAAAUCUAAGCUUGACAUGUUGAGAGACUUUUCAAGAGCCAAGGCAGCUUCAGAAGCUGCUUCAGUGAGAAAUGAGAUCAAUAAGCGGUUUCAAGAAGCUGUGGACCGUCCUGAAGUUAGAGAGAAGGUUGAGGCGAUCAAAGCCGAGGUUGCGAGCUCAGGAGCAUCAUCUUUUGAAGAGCUGAGUGAUGAGCUGAAGGAAAAAGUUUUGAAGACGAAAGGGGAGGUCGAAGCAGAGAUGGCUGGUGUGUUGAAGUCAAUGGGCCUAGAGCUUGAGGCUGUGAAACCGAAUGUGGCUGAGCAGAUCUUUGUUCCGAGCGAAAACAUUCAAGAGAAAGUUGAAAAGCUGAACCGAGAGAUCAGUGAGAAGAUUGAGGAGGUGGUGAGGACGCCAGAGAUCAAGAGCAUGGUGGAGUUGCUGAAAGUGGAGAACGCAAAGGCGAGUCAGACGCCAGGUGAUACUAAAGUGAGUCAGAAGAUAGAGACUCUUGAGCAGCAGAUCAAGCAGAAGAUUGCAGAUGCUUUAAGCAUGUCAGGACUGCAGGAAAAGCAAGAGGAGCUUGAGAAGGAGCUCGCGGUUGCACGUGAAUUAGCUGCAGAGAAAUCACAGGAGAGCCUGAAGGAAGAUGAUGAUGAUGAUGAUGACGAUGAAGACGGUUCAGAAUCUCACAAAUAUUUAAUAGAAUUAGAAAAUUAGUGAAUUGGAUAACACUAAAAUUUAAAGUAUUUUAGUAGAAUGAUUUCACAUACAUAAUCCAAUAACAUAAGAAUUUUUUAAAAAAAUUGAUAAAAUACAUAGUAGAUCAAUUAUAACAAAAAUAAUUUAAUGGAAAUUUCAAUUCUUUUAAAUUCAUUUGAAUUUCGAACUAAAACUAAAUCACUUUGUAACCAAAUCAAAAGUAGUUCGGUUGAGUUUGGCUGGAUCAAAGUAGUCAAACCGAACCGAAUCCAAAUUCAACCCACCUCUGGUAGAGAAGGGAGAAGUACAUAUUCAUGUUUUUUUCCGUUACAAGUUUUAAACAAAUUGAUUCCAACAGAAGUACAAAACUCCAAUGACUUAGAGGGUCUAGCGAAGCAGAUCAUAAUGGUUUCUACCACUGUAAAGAAGCCUAACAACAUUCUUCUUGUUGUUCCCUUUUCCCCAGCCUCCUCUAAACUCAGCUCCAUACUCUGCAAUCGGUAUAAAACCCGACCCAUACCCUCCUCCUCCUCCUCCUCCUCCUCCUCUCCUAUGCUGCAAAAUCAAGAUCCGAAUACAAACUGAGACCUGGCUUGUUUUACUAGAACAAAAGAAACAAGGAUUCUACUCAAGAUACCUCAUGCUCUGGUAUGUAGACGAUGAUUGGCUGUUUACAUAGCUUGGAAAGAACCUGUUAAAAGCAAAAACACCGUGGCUUUGAAAAUUGAUAAGGAACAUCUUGAGGUUUACAAUGCAGAGAAGCUACUACUCACUAGCAACUCAGACUCUCCUCCCCAGAAAUCAUGUCUUCCAAUCCGCUGACAAUACCUGAAGCAAAACAACAAGAAUAAAACAGUCAUUUAGCUCUGAGGGAAGCAGUAAUGAAUUGUUGUGACUCUACCGUUUCAGAGACUCAUCCACAGUGAUAGCUAUUAAAGCUUCUUUGUACUUCUCCCUUUCCUUGGGGUCAUUGCAUAUAACCUCUUUCACAGCCAUUCGUAAUUCAUCUGUGGAUGAAAUGCAAGUUUUUUUUGUUGUUGUUAUUUGCCACACAGAAACAUGAUGAUCAACAUUAAAAUGGAUAAGGUUCCUCAAUUACUAAUCAGUCAAUAAACCAAAGAAUCCACAAAACAUUUUAGCAGUGUUCCAACAAAACCACAAGGCCAACAUACUUGAAAAAAACUCAGAAACACACAAUAAAACACCAGAACAUGGUGGGAGUAAAGAAGGGUAUGAAGAGUGACCUGCAUCAUCUCUCUCUCUCCGGGGAUUGAUAGUAAGACCCUUGUUAAAGGCCAUUCCUUUCACCUACCAUUAAACUGUUUCUUGAGGAAACUCAACAAUAAACAAUCCAAAAUUACAUAUAACACGAAUAGAGCAGAAAAGUACAAAUACCAAAGCUCUAAAGAGGCAGCGACCAUCCCCAGUAACUCUAUCCACAGCGUACUGCUCAACCUUCUUCGCUGCCGGAGACCCAUUCCUGGAGAUUGAGCAUAGAGAACACACUAGUGCUCAAACUCACAGAUUACCCUCGAUUUCAAACAAAACAAAAAAACGAGAAAACUCACAAGGAGGAACCGAUUCUGGCGAAGAAGGCAUAGCUAUUGCCCUGUAAGAAGGAAGCAGAGGAGAUUGAAGGAGUAGGGGAGGAAACAAGCUCGAACCGAGCGAGCCCAUGUCUCAGCUGCUCCAGAAGAAUGUUAUCUGCGCAAAGAGUAAUAAGACUUUGAUGUUGUUGUUCGGAUUAAACGACAACAUAUAAACAAAAAUGGUGCAGAGAAAUGAAGUGUUACUGUUCGAAGGUUUUAGCUCCUCCAUGGACAUCAACAAAUCUCUAUGGACAGAGGAUAAGAGAAGUGAAUUUGACUCUCCAACAAACCAGAAGAAGACGCGAGUGUGUAGCGAUGGAAGUUUUAUUAUGAUUACAUAUCUCGUAUAGAACAGCAAUCCGUUGUAGUCUAGCUGGUCAGGAUACUCGGCUCUCACCCGAGAGACCCGGGUUCGAGUCCCGGCAACGGAGAGUUUUUUAUCUCUUUUUAAAAACUCACACGGACGAGGAGGCCACACACGUGCCAAAAGUCAACUUUUUUAUGGUUUAACGACCAACCGGAAAAACUCUGGCAAUUGGCAACUAGAAUCUGAACUAAGCAACUUCUGCCUAAGAAUUAUCGAAACACUUACACACAAUACCCACGCGCUCUCUCACGCUCCCGUACACACACUUGUUUUCUUAUUCUCUAAUCGACUACGAUCUCUUCGAUGCUCUCACUACCUUCCUCCUUCAUUCCCUUCUGAUUCCACCCUCUUCAUCUUUGGAUCUCUCUCUCUCUCUCUGGCAUUAUCUUCUUUCUUUGAGGUGAGUUCUCUUGUUGAGACCUUUUGGUAUUAAGAUUUGGUUGUUUGUUUACUAUUAGAGACAAUGAGCAGUGAAACGAAUCUCACCAUCUUUGGAUUUAAUCAUGAAUCAUGCUUUUGAAAGUCAGCAGCUUUACCCACUCAAUUUGUCUUUUUUGGUUUCUGUCCCUGUCGGAUUUGUUCAGUUAAUCUGUUUUUUUUUUCAGCAAAGGAAUGGCUUCAAUGUCUCAUUCAUCCAUAGCAUUGUGUGGAGCUUCUGCUUCUGCUUCAGACCACCUGCGUAGUUCGACCAAUGGUGUCACUGGGGUCUCAUUGAGAACCCUAGGAAGAGCAAUGGUUGCAUCCACCAAAAGAAGCAACCUGUACGUGACAGCUCGGCUCAAGAAAGGCAAGAAGUUCGAUCACCCCUGGCCUUCCAACCCUGACCCGAACGUCAAAGGAGGAGUCUUGUCUUACCUCUCCACUUUCAAACCCUUGGGGGACACUCAAAAGCCCGUCACUCUUGAUUUCGAGAAGCCACUCGUUGAACUCGAGAAGAAGAUUGUCGAUG
rnacentral:lncRNA from 1 species